GGGUCAGUAGGUUGGUCGUGCCACUGGUAUGCACUGGCCUUACUGAUUCCUCCUUCUUGAAGAACUGUGAUGUCAUUUACUUGGUGUUGCAGGGAAACAGGACUGUUACUUUGAAAAAAUUAGAGUGUUUAAAGCAGGCUCGCGCUAUGAAUACAUUAGCAUGGAAUAAUAAUUUAGGACUUUGCUCCUAUUUUAUUGGUUUCUAGGGGUGAAGUA
rnacentral:rRNA from 1 species